UACAGAGGGUGCGAGCGUUAUUCGGAAUUACUGGGCGUAAAGCGCACGUAGGCGGCUCCAAAAGUCGGAUGUGAAAUCCCUGGGCUCAACCGAGGAAGUGCAUCCGAAACUGCGGAGCUUGAGUAUGGAAGAGGGUCGCGGAAUUCCCGGUGUAGAGGUGAAAUUCGUAGAUAUCGGGAGGAACACCAGUGGCAAAGGCGGCGACCUGGGCCAAUACUGACGCUGAGGAGCGAAAGCGUGGGUAGCGAACAGG
rnacentral:rRNA from 1 species